rnacentral:rRNA from 1 species
CAGAGGUGGCUAGCGUUGUUCGGAAUUACUGGGCGUAAAGGGCGCGUAGGCGGCCUUCUAAGUCAGACGUGAAAUCCCCAGGCUUAACUUGGGAACUGCGUCUGAUACUGGAGGGCUCGAGUGCGGGAGAGGGAUGUGGAAUUCCAGGUGUAGCGGUGAAAUGCGUAGAUAUCUGGAGGAACACCGGUGGCGAAGGCGGCAUCCUGGACCGACACUGACGCUGAGGCGCGAAAGCUAGGGGAGCAAACGGGAUUAGAUACCCCGGUAGUCCUAGCCCUAAACGAUGAGUGCUUGGUGUGGCGGGUAUCGAUCCCUGCCGUGCCGAAGCUAACGCAUUAAGCACUCCGCCUGGGGAGUACGGUCGCAAGGCUG